GUCCGCUUCCCCAUAACUUCUCCAAGCUCCGCCCUCCACUAACCUCCUUUCCAACUCCUGUGCUUUCUCCUUAGACAAAGCUCCCCAUCUAAUCCACGGUUGACCCUGGGCGCCCCUCCGCUUCUUCUUCACCCAGAGAUCGACAUCAAUCACUAGAAGUCUAUGAAGAGUUGAAAGAGACUCUCCCGGAAUAACCUUGUAGUCCUUGCACAAGCCCCUAUCGCUCCUUCGGAUGAGGAUGUAAUCAAUCUGAGUCCUCGCCGCCGAACUCUUGAAGGUGACCAAAUGCUCCUCCCUCUUCCGGAAUGUCGAGUUCGCAAUCAGGAGCUCNNN
rnacentral:lncRNA from 1 species